UCCUAUCAUACUUUAUACAUAGCAACAAAUUGAGAUUACAUAUGGCUACAUAAUAAGAUUCCUUUGCAUCAUCGUGUUCUUACUUUGAAAUAUCGUAGCAGCAAAUUGAAAGAUUCUAAUGUGUUAGUUUUGGCACAAUGGGCUUCGGCCUCCUUGACAUCCAGCUGCCUAUUGGCAAGCAAUUUUUGAAUCAUCUCUGGUACACACCAUGCACAUAGUUAGCGUGAUUAUAGCAUUGUAGGCAACAAAAAGGAAUCCAUAUGUAAUCUGAAUCUUCACUGAACUUUUUAGGUUUGACCGUCCAGGACCUCGGUCACACAAAAUUUGACAGCUCAAACUUUUACCCUGACCAGUCUUCCAUCAUCCAUGGCAAAUCCAUGACAUACUUGGCUUCACAUUGAGAUGGUUCACCACCUUCAUCUCACACGACUUGUCACACUGCAUAUCCACAAACCAAUCCAGUUAAUGUUUGACGACUGAAAAAAAUUUAGAGUAAAUCGACAGAUGCAUGAAUAAAUCAACCGAUGCGUUGCAUCGGGAGAAAAAAAACAUCACAAACACACCACCAAGCUCUAGCACCUUCGCCUACAACAUGGCAAUCAAGCAUACCCGACGCCCAUGCAAUGGGCCCCACGAUGAUCUUGCACCCUUGCGGCUCAACCGGCGACGUCGUCGGCGGGUCAAGGCAGCGGCAGAGCAGGCGUGACACAGAUGCCACGAGCUGCUCGGCCACCUUUCCUCAAAAUACAACACAACAACAAAGGGAACUUGGCUAGAGAUCGCACUUGAACACUUAGCUGCAAUAGAGAUGAUUAAAACUUUCAAGAAUACAAAUUUGGCUAUCCGUUACAGUGGGAGAUGCAGUGUAUAUGACGGCGAAAACGGGCAAGGAAAAAAAUAGGAAAUGAUUAAAUGUGUUUUUACCUUUUGACAACAUCCUUUUGCCCUGCAUCACAUACAGUAAUGAUGUCACAAGCAUGCUCUUGACGAGAACGAUUCACAUGUGCUAGCGACCAGCAGAGGAUGGAGAAAAGAAGGGCAGAAGAGGGAGGCUUGUAUCUAUCAAGACACCAGCAUAUAAUUCAAGCUUUGUCAAGAUACCAAUAAGAGUAAAAUCACUCAAAGCUAAUACGGAACCUUAUAGCAAUAUACUGCACUGCGUAUAUCCACUAUCAUC
rnacentral:lncRNA from 1 species